rnacentral:misc_RNA from 1 species
GAUGAAGAACGUAGCAAAAUGCGAUACUUGGUGUGAAUUGCAGAAUCCCGUGAACCAUCGAGUUUUUGAACGCAAGUUGCGCCCGAAGCCUUUUGGCCGAGGGCACGUCUGCCUGGGCGUCACACAUCGCGUCGCCCCCCACAACUCUCCGUAAAGGGAACUUGUGUUUUGGGGGCGGAUAUUGGUCUCCCGUGCUCAUGGCGUGGUUGGCCGAAAUAGGAGUCCCUCCGGUGGACGCACGAACUAGUGGUGGUCGUAAAAACCCUCGUCUUUUGUUUCGUGCCGUUAGUCGCGAGGGAAACUCUUUAAAAACCCAAAUGUGUCGUCUCUUGACGGCGCUUCGACUGCGACCCCAGGUCAGGCGGGACUACCCGCUGAGUUUAAGCAUAUCAAUAAGCGGAGGA